CCGCGCGCACGGCCCCGACGCCCGACACCGCGGGGAGCUGGGCGGUGUAGACCCGGCGUCCGUCCGGGGACAGGGACCCAGGCACGUUGGAGAGAACUGGGUGGAGCUCCCACCGCAGCGAGCGAUGUCCUGGGCUCCUAAGCGACCCCCGCCUUUCCCAUCAGCAGGACUUGCGGGCUUCUUUUCUAAGAAAGAAACUGAGAUUCAGAGAAGCCGGGGCCAAAUAAGAACCAGAGGAGGACUGGGGGUCCGGCCGGGGUGACAAGAUCGGAAUGGAAACGUCAAGACACACUGUGCCACACACAUCCCGGAACACUGAAUAAAUAAGCCAACAAAUAAAAUGCAAUAAGGACUUAAAAUAGAGGAAGAGAAGCGUUGACCACUGGACUUCGCUAACCACGACGGGGCUUUUUGGUUACACGCACUGACCUUGCCACAAUCCAUAGAGAGUCAUGUGAUGAACGCUGGCUUCCUGUUUGAGUUACUCGUGGUCUCAAAUAGCCCAGGCUGCGUUUCAACUCUGUGGAGCCUGGGUGGCAUUGAAGUUCUGACUUCCUGACUCCAAAGCCUGAGUCUGCUGGAAUCACAGGCGUAAACCACCAAGGGGUCAGGCCUCCCUUUUACCUUAGCAAAUUCUGAGUUCAAGUCAGGCCAUGGUGGUACACACGUUUAGUCCCAGCACUUGGGAGGCAGAGGCAGGUGGAUCUCUGUGAGUUGGAGGCCAGCCUGGUCUACACUGUGUGUCAGGGCAGCCAGGGCUGUUACACAAAGAAUCCCUAUCUCAGAAAACAAAAACAAAAACAAACAAACAAACAAAAAACCCAAAGAAUAAAAAUAAAAAAAUAAACUCCGAGCCGGGCGGGUGGUGGCUCACGCCUGUAAUCCCAGCACUCUGGGAGGCAGAGGCAGGUGGAUCUCUGAGUUUGAGGCCAGCCUGGUCUACCGAGUGAGUUCCAGGACAGCCAGGGCUACACAGA